rnacentral:lncRNA from 1 species
ACAGAAGCGUACACAUCAAUUGAUUAACCAUUACAUGUACAAUUUCUUGCUAAAUAAACACCCUCACAUAUACAAAAAAUAAUAGGGCCAUCACAGUUGUUGUACGCCUGCGCAGUAAUUGUAAUCUUGCAGGAACACACAUGUUUGUAAAAUAAGCACCCUCAGCCAAAAAAUAAAAGGGCCACCCAUCAGCUAACCCAGGUUAGUGAACUUGGGGAUUCUACAACAACACUAGUUGCUAUACAAAAUACCAACAAAUGGGGUGGCAUCACAAAAACAAUUGCCAAUCUUUUACCCUAACGUUGCUACA